ACAGUGAUGCCAGAGAGCCCUCGGCCCAGCUGGAGAUCAACGCUCACCUGAGGAGGGGUCGCGUCAAUCACCCAUCCCGUCCUGCUUGCCGCGCGCCCCCCGACACCGCCUAUUUACCCUCAAACAAAAGCGGCGUUCAACUUGAAAGCGCUGCGCGUGUGAGCGGGUGUGUGUCGCGAUGGCAGAAUAGAUUGAGCUGUCAGAGCAGUUGCUCAGAGGGAAGAUUAAUAACCAACACAAACAAUAACGUUCCCGCCAUCACCAUAAAUAUGCUAAUGACCGUUAUCAAUACAGCAGCUAAUGGAAGCGCAGGAAUUACAGAGACGGCCAAGAGACAGGGCACGAGGGUUAGCCAUUUAUUCACAGACCGCUCUGAUAAACCCACAGCGCGGUCCCUCAAUAAAAGCACCCACCCUUAAAAGCUAUCAGCUCGCGAGUAAAACAACACUUCAUUGUGCGAGUGUGUGUGUGCGCAAAUGAAGAGGUAAAGGAAUAUGCGUGCCAAGGAUUUAAUUAAGAGUCAACGGGCUCAAAACAACCUGGCUACAGAACUGAAGACCCUUGUGUCCCAACUCCCAGUGGUCAUGUGCCAGCCUAGCAACUACCAUUAAGAAGAAUGGGAAUGCUUCCACCGCAUGUUUCCAAUUGUCUCACUGGAGUUUUUGCAACUCAACAUAAAAUGUCGGAAUUUAAGUGAAGAAGGAGAACUGGAAAGGAGAGGAUGAGAAAGAGAAAAAAGAUAGGGAAAGAGGCAAGCAGCCAAAGGAAACAAGGACGCAUAACAUAUUCAAUUAGCAACUGAACCCCAGCCAGCAAUCUAUAUCAGACGGAGGAGAGGCGAGAAAGGAAGGUGCAGGAAGGGGAGAACACAUGGGAAAUCACUGCGCGCCACGGCACUGCAAACAUCUGUACCGUGAUCCACAGAGGAGCUGCUGAGAUACUGAGGGUCAAUAGAAAGGGGUCAGACAGGACAAAGACACUUGGAUGUGUCAUUUCCUCCCAUAAUCCUAUUCUUCCAACUUUCUUUUCAUAUUUUCUUUUUUUUUUUAAUACUGUGAUGCUGUUAGUCUAUUCAUUUUUUGGGGGAGGGGGGCAUUGAAAUAAGUCUCUUAUGCUCACCAAGGCUGCAGUUUAAGUGUUGUGUUUUUAAAAUGUCAUUUAUUCCUGAGAUGGCAAAGCUGAAUUUUCAGUGACCAUUCCUACAAUCUUUUAUUAUUUUAUUAUUUUCAGUGUUGAAAACGGUUGUGCUGCUUCAUAUAUUUGUGAAAACUGCGGUAUACUACCAUUUAAACGUUUAGGGUAAGUAUUAUUUUAUUAAAAAGAAAAUAAAUGUUUACUUUAUAAUGCAUAUAAAUACAUUUAUAAUGCUAUAUACUCAAAAAUAUUCCUUCAAUAUAAUAAUAAUUUAAAAUAAAUGCUGUUCAUUGAACUUUCUAUUUAUCCAAGAAUCCUGAAAAAAAAUGUACCAUAGUUUCCACAAAAUAUUAAGUAGCAAAAACCAUUAAUCAACAAAUAAAAGCCAUUAUUAAUAUUUGAGCACCGAUAAUAAUUGAGCAGCAAAUCGAUAUCAGUAUAUCAGAAUGAUCGUGUGACAUUGAAGACUCAAGUAAUAUAAUUUUAAAAUAUAUAUAAAAAUAGACAACACCUAUUUUAAAUUGUAAUAUUAUUUUACAAUAUUACCGUUUUAUUUUGUUUUGAUCAAAUAAAUGUUACCUUUGUGCACAUAAGAGAUGUCUUUCAAAAACAUACAAAAAAAAUCAUGAUUAUUCCAAACUUUAUUUCCAAACGGUAGUGUAUAUGAGCAGGUUUGCCAUUUACAACCAUUACUUUUUUUUCUUUACUGAGAUAAUGAGAGAGAUACAGCAUUGAAAUCUAUAUAAAGCGAUGUUUUGUCGUACACGAUACAUAUCCACAGCGGAGCUUUGUACAGUGUGUAUGUAUUAAUUAAGAGUUAUUAUGUAGUGUGUUAUGUAUUCAUCACAUUUUGUAUGUACCAAUUACAGCAGGAACUGCAGGUUAUUUUCAUAUCUACAUCAAUUACAUUAACAAACACUCUGACAUUAGAUUAUUUAUGCUUGCGUGUGCAACUGUUUGUGUGUGCGAGCACAGACAUCAUGAUAAUGAUAAUCUCAUCAGUGUCUGUGAUUACAGUAAUGAUGUUAGUACACAAAUGCACUGGUCUCUCAUUAGGAGAAUCUGUCCACGGGGCAGAGCAGGGGGGCUUGUGUCUAAAACCUAAUAUAUCAAAUCCACACGCAGCCACACAGAAUGCAGUUUAAGUGCAUGCUGACUGCGUACUAUCCAUAUAGCAAAAAAUGAUGCACAACAUUGCCAAAAGUGGACACACGAAUGGAAUGACCACAUACUUUUAGCCAUGUGGUAUCCUGUAACAAACAUUAACAGAAAAAAGUUGUGGUAUUGACAUUCUUUGUAGCUGUAAGCCUGUUCAACUGCUCAUUAAAGGAUUAGUUCACUUCUGAAUGAAAAUUUCCUGAUAAUUUACUCACCCCAUGUCAUCCAAGAUGUUCAUGUCUUUCUUUCUUCAAUUGAAAAGAAAUUAAGUUUUCUGAGAAAAACAUUCCAGAAUUUUUCUCCAUAUAGUGGACUUCACUGGGGUACAUACAUCAGGUGGAAGGUCCAAAUUGCUGUUUCAGCUUCAAAGGGCUCUACACACUCCCAGGCGAGGAAUAAGGGUCUUAUCUUGCAAAACGAUCGGUCAUUUUCUAAAAAUAAAAAAAAUUAUAUACUUUUUAACCACAAAUGCUUGUCUUGCACUAGCUCUUCAGGAGGUAAACCCCAAUGAAGUCCACUAUAUGGAGAAGAAUCCUAGAAUGUUUUCCUUUAAAAACCGUGAUAAGAAAGAUUUGGAUGACAUAGGGGUGAGUAAAUUAUCAGGAAAUUUUCAUUCAGAAGUGAACUAAUCUUUUACCGCAAAUAUCUA